rnacentral:rRNA from 1 species
AUGGACCAUGCGGCGCCGCGGGCGAGGGAUUGGUCGUUGCUCCCCCUCGACGUUCUCUCCUCGAUCUUCAUUCGGAUUGGCGCCGUCGACGUCCUCAUGGGCGCCGGCCUGGUGUGCCGCUCGUGGCUCGAGGCGGCGAAGCUGCCAGAAGUGUGGCGGGCCGUGGACAUGGACAAGCACGAGGUCGUGUUCACGAAGUGUAACGUUGUCCUGCGCGCAAUGGCGAAGGCGGCCGUCGACCGUGCCGACGGGCAGCUUCGGUCGUUCGCCGGCAAGCUGUUUGUCACCAAUGAGCUCAUCAAGUAUAUCGUGGAAAGAUCACCCUCGCUGACUAGCCUUCGUCUCGUUUCCUGCCAUGUCCACUACCUCGCCAGUGUUAUGCAAGAGUCGCCUCCGAUGGAGCUGCGUUCCCUUGAGCUCGACGACACUUACCUCACCGUUAAAGACCUGACGUCUGUCGUCGAGAGCUGCCCUCUCCUAGAGGUUCUUCGGGUGCGCAACUGCGUUCAGGAAAUCGAUCUAUUAGUAGUAUCAUCGAUGGACGACGCGGCGCCGCUCGUGUCUGAGCCGCCGGCCAGGGACUGGUCGCUGCUGCCCCUCGACGUUCUCUCAUUGAUCUUCCCCCGGGUCGGCGCCGUCGACGUCCUCAUGGGCGCCGGCCUCGCGUGCCGCUCGUGGCUCGAGGCGGCCAAGUUGCUAGAAUUGUGGCGAGCCGUGGACAUGGACAAACACCAGGUCGUGUUCUGGAAGGACGAUGAUGUCCUGUGCGCAAUGGCAAAGGCGGCCGUCGAUCGUUCCGACGGACAGCUUCGGUCGUUCGCCGGCAAGCUAUUUGUCACCGAUGAGCUCAUGAAAUCACCCUCGCUGACCACCCUUCGGCUUGUAUCCUGCCGUGACCUCUUCCUUGGCCGUGUUAUACAAGAGUCGUCUCUGCUGGAGCUGCGUUCCCUGGAGCUCUAUGACAUUUCCCUCACCGUCGGUGACCUGACCGUUGUCCUGGAGUGCUGCCCUCUCCUAGAGGUUCUUUGGGUGCGCAACUGCUUCCGGAUCGACGAGGAAGACGAGCAUGCCCUGCCAGCGAAAUUCUCCAGGAUCAAGACCCUGACGCUUUUGUGA